rnacentral:rRNA from 1 species
CAGUAGCCGCGGGAAUACGAAGGGGGCUAGCGUUGUUCGGAAUUACUGGGCGUAAAGCGCGCGCAGGCGGUUCUCCAAGUCAGUGGUGAAAGCCCGGAGCUCAACUCCGGAACUGCCAUUGAAACUGUUGAACUUGAGGACGAGAGAGGUGAGUGGAAUUCCCAGUGUAGAGGUGAAAUUCGUAGAUAUUGGGAAGAACACCGGUGGCGAAGGCGGCUCACUGGCUCGUAUCUGACGCUCAGGCGCGAUAGCGUGGGGAUCAAACAGGAUUAGAUACCCCAGUAGUCCCUGUCUCUUAUAC